UUUGUCAAGUACCGUCUGCACUUGUGAAGAAGAAGGAGAAGAGGAGCUUGGAAGAACACGAGUCAUGGCAUCGAGCGGCUCUCCCGCGAAACAGGAGCACCGACAAAGCGAAGCCGCUGUACCAGCUGUUCCUGAUGUAGAACCACAGCACGGAGUUGGAACACCAGUGAUCCAGCCGGUGGCGGCCAUAGUUUUGUCCCAGGCAUCAGCGCUCCAGUCGACGUGCCCAACGCCGGUGUCUAAACACGCGCUGCGCAGAGGAGAACUCAACUGGGGAUAUAUGCUUCUCAUAGGAACCCUGUUGGUUCUACUAGCCUGUACCAUUAUCUUGAUCCUCAUCGAGAGUAGGUCUAUGUCUGAGAAAGCGACGGAAUCUGUCAACAAUAAUACAACAUCCUGAUACUACCUCAACGGCCCUUGCAUCUUGGGGCUGUUGUUCCGCAGGCGGGCCGUAGGUCUGCGAUGGCGCAAUUACUAUCGUGCAAUAAAAAGAUGGAAAACACAAGG